rnacentral:lncRNA from 10 species
CAAAUACAGAGAGGAUGAACAGUUGCAGGAUUCUGAGCAGAGCAACUGCUUAUUGUUGUCUACAGAGAUGUAUGCUAAGGAGUGCAGAGAGAUGAAAGGAUGGAUUCUAUCACAGGAAUAGCAGGGUGAGGGUUUAUGAUAAAGCAAAGCCUGGUUUGGGAAUGUCAGAGUGUAGAGAAAGCAGCAUCAGGAGAUGGGCACACUUUAAGUGGAAAUAAAGGAGUCAGGAAGGAAGAUGGAAAGACAGGAAAUUAAAUUGAAGGUUUGAUGAAAGUAUUUCAUUUAAUCACCAAGUGACCCUGUGAAGGAUGUAUUAUUAAACACGCUGUUCAGAAAAGGACACCAAAGCUCAGAGAAGGUCUUUGAGAACCAAAAUGUGAGACUGCAGGGGAAACUAUGUCUUCAUUCACCUAGGGAUCACAUUGGAACCUGUGAACGACAAGACAUUUGACCAUCAACCCACCAUUUCCACACAGAAGUGUCAGAGUUGAGAGUGAGCUGGGUGUACAAGAAGCAGCUGCAAGGCAUCAGGGAAGUCCCUGAAGCGG